UGUUUGCUACUUUUUGUAUUCUUUUUGUUUUUAUCUAUUUUUUUUAAAGUUAGAAUUUUUAAAUAAUUGGUGUCAGUCGAUCCCGGCCUGCCUGUACUUCGACAACAACGCCCGGCUUGCCUUGACAUCGACACCAAUGCCAUGCAUGCACCAUCCUAGGCAUUGUUUACAGCUGUUUUUCCCUAACAUGUAAGUACCAAGAAUCAGCUCUCACAUAUGUUGUUUUUCUGUUGAAAGUCUGAGGGAAAAGAUCAGUAUGCAGACCUUGUUACAUUACGCGAAUAUUAACCUCCUUCUUAUAUUACAAUAAUUGAUGAAGGCCGUUGGUUUAAUUACUUCUUCUUAUAAUACACACCCCUUUUGUCUAAAAUCCAUUAUUUUUUAUGAGUGACCGCUGCGCAUAAUACAGAAGGAAUUGAUAGUAAAAUGUAUACACUUCGUUUAUAUAAUAAUUGUGUUAUUAUAUCCAAAACAAAACGACAAACAAGCAUGGAAUUAAAAGAAAAUUAAAAAAGGGGGAGGGCUUAAACAAAUGGUGCAGUUAUGACCGGAUGAAAAGCAUGUUAAUUAUUUGGACUAUCAUCUUUCUGACUUUAAUUAUUAUAUCUUUUAAUUGUUGAUUAUUAGCUCAAAUAUUCCCACAUAAUUAUCUUUUGGUUAAAAAUGUAUAUUUCUACUAAUCCGAUAAUGGACUUCG
rnacentral:lncRNA from 1 species